ensembl:lncRNA
UCAGUUAUUAAUUAUGAACUAGUUAUUAACAAGCAUUGUAAAAUUGUUUUCAGCCCAAAAAGGAAAAGAUUCCUACGUUGUUUAUUUAUCAAUGACCCCAAACGAUGUGGAUUUAAUAACACGGUGACUCACACACCAACACGACGUGCGGUCCGCUGUGGUUUCCGUGGUUCCAGAGCGAGUCGUCAGAGGGCCCUCCGGCCUCGGCAGCAGCCAGAGAGGAGGGUGAGAGGAGUCGGGCGGGGGCAGGCGGACUCAGGGCGCAGCACCCAGUCACCUCCGAUCGCCAGGCUGUCCACCACGGCCGGGAGGACACCUUCAUCCUGGGGCAGACGCCGCAAGCCAUACGCAGGCAGCAGCUGGACCAGAUGGCGUCCGAACUGGGCAUGUCUUCAGUCCGUGCCUUUGCGGAGGACGUCCUGAGCAGCAGCUCGGGUCAGAGACUAGCCUGGCUCAGACGGUACUACUCGUCCCUGGACCGUCCAGACCUGGCCGACAUGGUCGCCAACUGGUUCCCCGAGCCCUCCGUGGGCCAGUCCACCUCCGUAGUGCGGCCCCCAAGCUCUCCCGCCCCUAAACCCAAAUGCAGAAGGAAAGUCUCUCCUCAGAAGGCUAGAGGGGACUCUAAAGCCAGAGAAACGCCUCUUUUAACACCUCAGAAAUCCCCCAGAAUCCCUCAGGGGAGGGUCGCUGUUGGGGGCUGUGACAUCGCCAGAGGCCGUAAGAGGACACAUAGGGCGAGUGUUUCCAGCAGCGCCGCCUCCAGAGCUGCAGGGGUUCCUUGCUCGGACCCGGCCGGCAGCAGCAGUCUGGAGCCCUGUGGGGAGGCCGCUGCCCUGGACCCAGCAGCCUCCGGUGCUGCGGUGGGCCGGACGGACAGGGCAUGCCCCCCCGUCCCCCCACAGAGAGGCCCCUUCCCCCUCGGACCCCCGUUCCAUCCUCACGGAGCUCAUCGGAGACACGUCGAUCCUGGACGACCUUUUCAGACCCACCUCAGCCAGAGGGGCGCCGCAGAGGCGGUUGGCGGCGGCAAGCCCCUCUCAGACCCCCCGACCCUGCCUUCAUGCCGACGGCAGCGAUCCCGCCACGCAAGCCCGCUCAGCCCCUCCUCCUCCGCCGCGUCACGGCAGGCCGCAGAGACUUCUGGGACAUUUUGAACGAAGGCAGCGAGGAGAGCCUGGAGCGGCUGACGGACCUGUCGGUGCUGGAGAGGGUGCGUGGGAGGACGGCCCGCCCGGACCUGGGCGCGUCUGGGGAAGGAGGGGGCUCCGCACUAUGGAAGACUAAUGACAAGUUUCUGUGGAAGAAAUAGCAGGGUGGAGGGUGACGGUGCUACAGUGGGAUUCAAUUUAAAGAAGAAUUGUGAAGCCAGGGAUUAUGUUGCUUUCUCUUUCUUACUUUUUAGGUUUUUAUAUUUCAUGAUAAAGAAAACAUGUGUUUUCCUCCCUGUUUUAUUAUAAUAUCUAGCUUUGUUUUUAGUAUAUUUUAAUGACAUGCAAAACAUGCCGUAGGUAUUUAUGCAAAGUAAGCUGUAAAAAAAAUCGGUUCAAAAACUUCAAUAAACAGAAUUUGCAG